CGCAUAUUGCGCCCUUUGGUAUUCCAUAGGGCAUGCCUGUUCGAGCGUCAUAAAAAAAUUCAAACUUUUUGGAGUUUGGUAGUGGAAUUGGCGUUUUGGUUUUUCAAUUCGCCCUUCCGAAUAACAGUGCCGGCAUUACACAAAUGUCUUGGAGCGUAGUAACAUUUUUUCUCCUUCAAGUCUUGUAUUCAACUGCUCGCUAUAGAAAUACAUUUACUGGAGUAAAAUCCAAAUUUUUGACCUCGGAUCAGGUAGGGAUACCCGCUGAACUUAA
rnacentral:misc_RNA from 1 species